rnacentral:rRNA from 1 species
GGAACGACUCUCGGCAACGGAUAUCUCGGCUCUCGCAUCGAUGAAGAACGUAGCGAAAUGCGAUACUUGGUGUGAAUUGCAGAAUCCCGUGAACCAUCGAGUCUUUGAACGCAAGUUGCGCCCGAAGCCACCAGGUCGAGGGCACGUCUGCCUGGGCGUCACAC